ACGGCCCUGCUGAUUCAUCCAUUUGCAGUGAUCCUCUUGAAUUUUCUGAUUGUGUCUAUUAGCAUCAAGUUGCCAUUACUAAGGAACAUAUAGAGACAGAGAGGAAAACAGGAGAAUUAGAUGUGUUGAAGGACUAACACCAAAGUACUGGAGUAGCCUGAGAAGUUUAGAGGGAGUAGAGAGGAUAGGAUGAGAGAGGAAGAGAUACUAAACAU